AUUGAACGCUGGCGGCAGGCUUAACUCAUGCAAGUCGAGCGGAGUUUUGGUGCUUGCACCAAGACUUAGCGGCGGACGGGUGAGUAAUGCUUAGGAAUCUGCCUAUUAGUGGGGGACACCAUUCCGAAAGGAAUGCUAAUACCGCAUACGCCCUACGGGGGAAAGCAGGGGAUCUUCGGACCUUGCGCUAAUAGAUGAGCCUAACUCGGAUUAGCUAGUUGGUGGGGUAAAGGCCUACCAAGGCGACGAUCUGUAGCGGGUCUGUGAGGAUGAUCCGCCGCACGGGGACUGAGACGCGGCCCAGACUCCUACGGUAGCGAGCAGUGGGGAAUGUUGGACAAUGGGCGGAAGCCUGAUCCAGCCAUGCCGCGUGUGUGAAGAAGGCCUUUUGGUUGUAAAGCACUUUAAGCGAGGAGGAGGCUACUAGUAUUAAUACUACUGGAUAGUGCACGUUACUCGCAGAAUAAGCACCGGCUAACUCUGUGCCAGCCGCCGCCGUAAAAC
rnacentral:rRNA from 1 species